rfam:Glossina morsitans morsitans, isolate Yale, WGS project CCAG01000000 data, contig: ctg10007410
GAAAGAAUUCUUAAAAAUAAAUAUCAGCUGGUAAUUCUGGGAUAUUUAUAACUCGGAAUUUCAGUUGGUAUAAAUUUUUCUGAAUUA